rnacentral:rRNA from 1 species
CGUGUAGGCGGGAAGGCAAGUCAGAUGUGAAAACUAUGGGCUCAACCCAUAGCCUGCAUUUGAAACUGUUUUUCUUGAGUACUGGAGAGGCAGGCGGAAUUCCGUGUGCAGCAGUGAAAUGCGUAGAUAUACGGAGGAACACCAGUGGCGAAGGCGGCCUGCUGGACAGAAACUGACGCUGAGGCGCGAAAGCGUGGGAGCAAACA